rnacentral:pre_miRNA from 1 species
ACCCUGUAGACCUGGGUUUGUGUGUGAUAUCCGGUCAACAACAGAAGCUCUGCUCUACAGGUAU